UACGGGAGGCAGUGGGGAAUAUUGCACAAUGGGCGCAAGCCUGAUGCAGCCAUGCCGCGUGUAUGAAAAAGGCCUUCGGGUUGUAAAGUACUUUCAGUCGUGAGGAAGGUGUUAAGGUUAAUAACCUUAGCAAUUGACGUUAGCGACAGAAGAAGCACCGGCUAACUCCGUGCCAGCAGCCGCGGUAAUACGGAGGGUGCGAGCGUUAAAUCGGGAAUUACUGGGCGUAAAGGGCACGCAGGCGGUUAAUUAAGUUGGAUGUGAAUCCCGGGCUUAACCUGGGAAUGGCAUUCAAGACUGGUUAGCUAGAGUCUUGUAGAGGGGGUAGAAUUCCAUGUGUAGCGGUGAAAUGCGUAGAGAUGUGGAGGAAUACCGGUGGCGAAGGCGGCCCCUGGACAAAGACUGACGCUCAUGUGCGAAAGCGUGGGGAGCAAACAGGGAUUAGAUACC
rnacentral:rRNA from 1 species